AUGGCUGUCGUCAGCUCGUGCCGUGAGGUGUUGGGUUAAGUCCCGCAACGAGCGCAACCCCUGUGGCUAGUUACCAGCACGUUGUGGUGGGGACUCUAGCCAGACUGCCUACGCAAGUAGUGAGGAAGGUGGGGACGACGUCAAGUCAUCAUGGCCCUUACGUCCAGGGCUGCACACGUGCUACAAUGGAUGGUCCAGCGGGAGGCGACCGCGCGAGCGGCAGCAGAUCCCCAAAACCAUUCCCAGUUCGGAUUGGAGUCUGCAACUCGACUCCAUGAAGCCGGAAUCGCUAGUAAUCGCGGAUCAGCGAUGCCGCGGUGAAUACGUUCCCGGGCCUUGUACACACCGCCCGU
rnacentral:rRNA from 1 species